UACGGAGGGUGCAAGCGUUAUCCGGAUUCACUGGGUUUAAAGGGUGCGCAGGCGGACUGGUAAGUCAGUGGUGAAAUCUCGUCGCUUAACGACGAAACUGCCUUUGAUACUAUCAGUCUUGAAUCCGGUAGAGAUCUGUGGAAUUCCGAGUGUAGCAGUGAAAUGUGUAGAUAUUCGGAAGAACACCAGUGGCGAAGGCAGCAGAUUGGGCCGGUAUUGACGCUCAGGCACGAAAGCAUGGGGGAUCAAACAGG
rnacentral:rRNA from 1 species